GAUGAACGCUAGCGAUAGGCUUAACACAUGCAAGUCGAGGGGCAGCAUAGAAUUAGCUUGCUAAUUUUGAUGGCGACCGGCGGAUGGGUGAGUAACGCGUAUGCAAUCUACCUUCUACACAGGGAUAGCCCGGAGAAAUUCGGAUUAAUACUUGAUAAUAUAUUAGAACCGCAUGGUUUCGAUAUUAAAGAUUUAUUGGUAAAAGAUGAGCAUGCGUUCCAUUAGCUAGUUGGUAAGGUCACGGCUUACCAAGGCAACGAUGGAUAGGGGAACUGAGAGGUUUAUCCCCCACACUGGGACUGAGACACGGCCCAGACUCCUACGGGAGCAGCAGUGGGGAAUAUUGCGCAAGUGGGGGGAACCCUGACGCAGCAACGCCGCGUGAAGGAUGACGGUCUUCGGAUUGUAAACUUCUAUCGA
rnacentral:rRNA from 1 species